GUUCAUUAUUUGGUCAAAUUUUUGAACAUCCGAUAUUGCCCUUGAUAUUUCCCACGAUUUACAGAGUAACCGAAAGGGGACUGACGGUUCUGGCUUUUGCCGCACAGAGAAAACUACUUCUGUCUUUUAAUUCGAGGCAGAGGAAAGGGUUUAGAGCGGUAGGGUUGAAUAAUUCUGGGUCUUCGGUAUUGGAGAUUGAUGAUUAGGGUUCUUGAUGGGAGAGAUUAUUAGGUACCAGCUCUGGAGCACAAUGUAAAGAGACAAAAAUGUACUAGCAGUGGCUUUUUAUGUGCGAAACUGGAAUGUGCUAACAGCAGCCAUUCAAUUGCUGAUGAAGGCUGAUUUAUGCUGGCAAGCAGCUUGGAGAUGACAAAACUGCUAGACUACAACAUUGAGGGUGGCUCUGUCCUUCCUUUAGUGCUUGCACUACGUGGUGGUAGCCUAUAGAUUGUAUCAUAAUAUUGUAUCUAUUAAUGUUCAGGCAAACUCUUUUGUGAAGGCUUUAUCGAGUCUUGAUACUCCAAAACAUCUGAGUUGCAUGACAAGUGGAUUACUUUAGACAUAAGUAUCAGCGUUACAUAUUGCACUCUACCUUUCUGCUCUGUUAUGUUCACUGUAAUGCUCUGGUGCUUUUACUUUAUACAAGCUUAGCUUCACUUGGGCAACAAAUUUUAUCAAUCUUGAUUACAAUUGUUUUCUGCUUGUGGA